UUUUCAGAAUCAAAUGAAACUAUUUCUCACUUCAUCUGUAAAAUUUACAACUCUUUGCAUGAUUUCAUUUUCCAGUUGAAACACAGAAAAUUUCUGUGUUUCAACUGGAGCUGAAUCAUUUGAUCAGAGUGAGGGAAACAUAUAGAUAUAGACAAAUUAUGUGAAUGAAUCUGUUUCACAUGACAAGUUUUCAUUUGAGAGAGAAGUACAAAUGUACAAACUCAUUGCAGACUUCCCUCGAAGCAUUAGAAGAAAAGGCCUGGCAGUUAACAUUUCAGAUGUUAUCUGUGAUAAGAAUUCAGAUCAGCUCUCAAAUACUUCUCCAGCAUAGUACUGUUUGUGGACCAUCUUCUUGUAGUCUUCCUUAUUAUUCCAUAAUUUCGCAGCAUAGCUGUUGAGAGGACUGUCUGGGUUAGGUUCUCCCAACAGACUCUGAAUGGACAAAAGAAUGGUUCUGCAAUCGUAAGCUGAAGACCACUUCUCCUGGAGUAUGUCUAGGCAUAUAUUGCCAU
rnacentral:misc_RNA from 1 species